GAGUCACGUGCUCCCUGCUGGCCAAACAACAGUAGCCUGGAGUGUGAAGGUUGUUUGGAAGCUCCUCCUCCUUCUGAGACUGACAGUCAACAGAGCCACACUGUAUGGAGUGCCAAAUGCUGAUCGCUUUAAUAAUAAAGUCCUUAUAUCCUAGCAGCAAGCCCCACUUUCCAGUAACUGAAGUCAUCUGCAGACACUGAGACCGUCCUUCGGAGGUGGGGCAGCUGAGAACCAUUGAAUACGGGAAGGCGUCUGAAGGCUCGUGGAAGCAGGGAUGCAGAAACACAUCCUCAUCACCUCCCGUCUCGCCUUCUCCCUCAGGAGAGCUAGAAGAGCAGUGGAAGCUGAAAGUGCCCUGGCCAGUGAGAUUCUUUAGCAGCUAAGCAACAGGCUGAAGUAGCUUCUGUGUUGGGCAAGGAGGCUUCUAACCAUCUGAGCCUACCAGUGGAAAAUCAAGCAGACCCGUAAAGCAAGACCUUACAUCCCACAGGCGUGGAGAAUUGGGUUAUGGCACUAAGCAAUGGAUUCCCAUCAGCCAAGGAAAAAAAAUGAUGCUGAUGAAUUUUAAAGUUCAUGUAGUCGGAGAUGUCCUGAUGCCUGCCACAAUGAACUUGACUGAUACAACCCAACAAGCAGAUGCUUGGUGUCUGGCCUGAAGCAUUGUUUAGCGGGAUGAGAGAUUAUAGGGCUCUUUACAAGUGAUCACCUACCAUGUAUGUGGGUAAAGGUUGACUACACAACCACCGUUCUGUAAAAAUGUGUUAAUCACAAGAAACAUACCACAAACCAUCAGAAAGAUUUGGCCUAGAUGUCCUGGAGAUAUUGGCACAACAAACAAGCAAACAAAACUCCAAAACAAAAGAAAUUCACAAACAAACAA
rnacentral:lncRNA from 1 species